rnacentral:rRNA from 1 species
UUUUUUGCGGAGAGUUUGAUCCUGGCUCAGGAUGAACGCUGGCGGCGUGCCUAAUACAUGCAAGUCGAACGAGGUGCUUUUGUAGCAAUACGAAAGUAUCCUAGUGGCGAACGGGUGAGUAACGCGUGGGUGACCUGCCCCAAAGUGUGGGAUAACAGAUCGAAAGAUUUGCUAAUACCUCAUGUGGUUAUCGGGUUUAGAAACUGAUAACUAAAGGAGCAAUCCGCUUUGGGAGGGACCUGCGUCCCAUCAGCUAGUUGGUGAGGUAAUGGCUCACCAAGGCUACGACGGGUAGGGGACCUGAGAGGGUGGCCCCCCACAAUGGAACUGAAACACGGUCCAUACACCUACGGGUGGCAGCAGUAGGGAAUAUUGCACAAUGGGCGAAAGCCUGAUGCAGCAACGCCGCGUGCGCGAUGAAGGUCUUCGGAUCGUAAAGCGCUUUUAUGAGGGAUGAGUAAGGACAGUACCUCAGGAAUAAGUCU